AAUCUCAUUAAUUGCUCUUCCUCCCUGGCUGCCCGAGGAUCACCCGCCAUCAUGAAUGACACAGUAACUAUCCGGACCAGGAAGUUCAUGACUAACCGACUACUUCAGAGGAAACAAAUGGUCAUUGAUGUCCUUCACCCUGGGAAGGCAACAGUACCAAAGACAGAAAUUAGAGGAAAAACUAGCCAAAAUGUAUAAGACCACACCUGAUGUCAUCUUUGUAUUUGGAUUCAGAACUCACUUUGGUGGUGGGAAGACAACGGGCUUUGGCAUGACUUACGAUUCUUUGGAUUAUGCAAAGAAAAAUGAACCCAAACAUAGACUUGCAAGGCAUGGCCUGUACGAGAAGAAAAAGACAUCAAGAAAGCAGCGAAAGGAACGCAAGAACAGAAUGAAGACAGUCAGGGGGCCUGCAAAGGCUAAUGUUGGUGCUGGCAAAAAGAAAUGAAGUGUCUAGCAGUGAGCUGGAGAUUGGAUAACAGGCGCAGGACUAAAGACUCUACAGUGAUGUUAUCUGCAGCCAUUGUAUAGAUUUUUUCACAAGGGGAUUAAUAAAGACUUUUCAUGUGAAAAAAAAAGAAUCU